rnacentral:lncRNA from 1 species
ACCACGUCGAGUCUCUUCUCUCGUUCUCUCGGCGUGGGAAUUCUUUAAAGGUAAUGAUUAUUUGUCAAAUAUUAGCUGUGCAUAAUGUUAGUCUUUUCUCUUAGGGAAUUCUUAUUUAGUUCGGAUCGGUCUCAACUCUGAUCCAUCAGAGCUGCAUUGCCCCCAUCUCACCCCAUUCAGACAUAGUGUACUUAAGGGGUGCACUAUUCAGUAUGCCCUUUCUUGAGGCUAUCCAGGUGUGAUUUGAAUGAGAUUUAGCUGCUAUUUUCCAGCAUGUCUAGUGACCAUGUGGAGGUUCUUCCCCUCGUUAGUUCUUCCUACAUGAGUGGUUAGUGUAUGUAGUUCGCCGAUAGCAGAUCAUGCAAAAUAUUGGCAACAUUACGCUGUGUAUAAACACUGAAGUGGUAUUUUUCGGAACAGUAAACUAGCAAUAAAAGAAAUCUUUAUUCGCUUUUCGUAACAGUGUAUCUUAUAGUAGUAAUAUAUAACUUGCACAGCCAGUCGAUAAACCUCUAACAAAAACAACGUUUUCUAUAGACUGUGAACCCUCCUUACCUUUCGACCAAAUAAAACCUACAUCAAACAAUUGUCAACUGCGGUACUAAAAUUUAGUAUUCCUAUAAAACAUCCUCGAUAUCUAUGGAAUUAUAACAGCAGUGUUCUGUUCAGAACAAGGAACUGAAAAUGCCGUGUUUAAAAGGUUGUCUGCUUGGAUGAGUGGAGUCUUAACAAUGCGAUAUUUUACCAAUUAAGUAAACCUGAGGGGCUGCUAUUGUCACAAACGCUAACUUGAUUCUUCUUUGAUAACAAUCUGCAGACGGGUGCAGCAGUGUACAACAGACAUAGCCAGGAAUACGCCACCAUUAAAUCCUACUGACUCUGAUCCCUCUGUCCCACCCCCACUGCACCGCAUGCACAUAACGGUUGAUAGCCCCUCACCCCACCCCACCCCGUUGUAAAAAUUUGUGAAAUGAAAAUAAAAUAUAAAGUACAUCCGCUUGAGAUAUUAAACAUCACGUCUGUUUUUAUAUUUCUGUCUCUGCCUAUGUCUGUCUGUCUGUCUGUCUGCCUCUUUAUUUGGAUUUCUGGUUGUCAUCUGCCAGUCUCUCUGGCUUUCUCUCUCUUACACACUAUAUUUGUGUGUGUGCAUAUAUAUAUAUAUAUAUAUAUAUGGCACUUCCCCUCUUUUUCUUUAGCACUUAUCCCAGAUACAAAAACACACACACACGCAUACACACAUGUUCUCUCUCUCACUUUCUCCUCAUCCAUCACCCUCUUGUAUAUUCCUCCCCACCACUACAAACUCAAUACCACUAUAAAAUGGUCAAAACUCCUCACACAGGAACUUAGUUUGAUUUGAAAACCCCACUAGAAUGGGAGAAAGCGCCAAUACAUGAUCUAAGUUAUAUGAUGUAUAAAAAAUGUAAUAUACAAAUAAAUAUCUGUAAAUAUAAACCAUCCGAUUUUCUGAGUACCUCAUUUCUUCUAAUAUAUUUAUAUAUAUAUAUAUCUGUGUCAGGAUCUUUGUUUUCUAUAUGUAUAUCUAUAUAUAUAUUUGUUGUAGUUUAAUCCUUGGUUAAUUACUGAUCGAGUAGAAAUUAUGACAAGAACCAUUCCAGCUUUGAUCCUCUGUUUCCUCUAGAGGGAUUUAAUUAUCAGAUGUGUAUGAUUCCUUGUUUAAGACAGUUGUAUGAAUUGAGGGUAAUUUAGCUGCUGUUUCUAGCGAGUGCAGCAACCGCAUAUAGGGUCCUUUUUUUUUUUUUUUUUGUAUGUAGAUGUGUAUGCAUGUGUGUAUUAUAAUUGUGUGCUUGUGCACUUUCAGAUUUGGCACUCCCCAAGUUAUAGAAGCUAGCUUUUUUGCUUGGCUUCCUCUAAGCAUUGUACUACUUAAUAACAUGAUGUCAAUAGCCAACAAAGAGGUCUCUGCAUGGUUGUUUAACCUGCUAAAAAUAGCUGCCAAAUAAAUUUCCUUCAGCUUAUGCUUUGAAAUUUUAAACAAGGAAGCAACAGAUUGGAUACAGUUGUUUUACUUGUAGCUGUAAAAAGACCAAGUUGUCGUGGCUGGAUAGUGAAUCCUGGAUGACAGAUCUGCUGGCUGAGAGUUAACAUGGCCGCUAAGCAAUUAUCAUUAACAUCCACUCUUAUGUCAGCAGUGUUAUUGGGAAAGGCAUGAAUGUCUCACAUACACUUGUAAUCAAAAAAUUCUAGAAGUAAUGGUGGCUCUUAGCAAUCCUCAUCGUCAUUUAAUGUCUGUGUUCCAUGCUGACUCUUUCACCACAACUUUCUCUCACUGUUUCCUCCUGCAUCUUGCAGCUCACCUGCGACGGAUCUGCGUCCCGUCCAGGUGGGGAACCUAUAUGCCAAGAAACCGGGAAACUGGCCCUUAUGAGCCAGGCAUGGCUCAAGAAGGAACAAACAACAACAAAACAGCUUGUAACAAUACUUGAUCAUUGAGACAAGAAUAUGGUAUACCGUUUAUUUAUUUAUUGCAUAAUGAAACAGAUGCAACAAUAUUCUUGAUAUGGAAAUAAUAAAAUUGUGCCUAAGUUCACUUUGCAAACUGCAUGGUUGAGAUUUGCUCCUAGGGUGCAUACAGUACUGUAAGGCAAGUGUCUUCAACUCUAGUACUGGUUUGGUCAAACCCUUUGUAAGUGUGACAGGACCAUUCUUUUUCUUAUUGGGUGAGGGAUUGAAUCUGCCACCUAAUUUAACAAUCACCAAUAUUUUGAGUGCCUUUGGCAAGUUUAAGGAUAUCUUUCUCCUUUUCUUCUACCAGUCUAGAAGCCCUGAUUAAAGAUAUCCCUUGUUACUGUUAUUCCUCUUUUGACUCAAGCAUUAAAUAAAACCCUCCAUGGUAGAAAACUAAUCUAGGCUAGCUGUUUGAAUUGUUGAACAUUUAAUUGAUAACUUUUAGAUCUGGAGAGGCAGUUCUUAGAACUUCUAUGUCUAUAAAUUAUGUCUUAUUUAUUAUUUAAACAAUUUUAUAUUUCUACACUAACUGGUAUAUAAUCUUGUAUAUAGUGAUUAUUUUAGGUAAGUACAAUGGUGUAUAUUUCUCUGAUGAAGUCAGAAUAAUACUGAAACAUGCCUAAAGUUGUUUCCCAUACUUGUCAAAUUAAAUUAUAAGAUUAAUAUUGAAUUUCUUCCCCUUGCAAAGCAUAAUUAUUUCUGGUUGGCUUUUUAAUUCUUCCUAUAUUGAAUAACUUGAUUUUGUUAUUUUUCAUAUGAAUAGCAUCUUUUAAAAAAUUUCUUCUGUGAGCAGUUCUGUUAUGCCAAGAUAACCAGUGAACAUUCUUAUAUAAUUCACCUGGUGAUUCUCUCAUCGUCACAGUGAAAUCCUUACUUCACUGAUACCAUUAGUAAAAGAAAUUGAAACCUGUUCAGAGUCGACCCCAAAACUUGCUGAAAUAAUUAAAAUAACAUCAGUCGUUGACUAAUCUUGCAUCUUUCUUCACUAUAUCAUUAUUCCCAAUUAUCUUUAUAAUUUUUCUUUCAUUAAAUGCAUUAACACUUACCUGUACAUGCUUUUAUCUGUUAACUACUCCAUUAUAAGGUUUAGAUUUGGUUACAGCUGUUUGCUCCUAAUAAUCUGUUUGACUGCCAGAAAAAAAAAAUACUAAAAAGCUCUAGCUUUCAGGAUCCAGGAUGUUACCACUAAUGUAAACCCCACCCUCAUACACACCUGCCACUGCCUUUCAUAUCAGAUGUACAAAGGUUGCAGCCAGUAUCUCAAUUCAUCCAUCAUUUCGUUUUACUAUCGUUCUUUCUUUUCUAAUGUUAUGAAAAUUUCCUUGAUUUUGAUAGCAUGCAACCGCUGGCUCAUUAUGCUCUGAGUUCAGCUCCUGCCAAGGUCGACUUUGCCUUGUGGAGGUGGUGCAUGGCUUAGUGGUUAAGGUGUUGGACUCCUCACUGUUCGAUUGUGGGUUCCAUCCCUGGACUGGGCGACGUGUUAUGUUCUUGAGCAAAACACUUCAUUUCACGUUGUUCCAGCCCACUCAACCAGCAAAAAUGAGUAAUCCUGGGAUGGACUGGUGUCCCAUCCAUGUGCAGAAUAUAUACACCAUGGAAACUGGGAAACCAGCCCUUGUAGGUCAGCAUGUCUCAAGAAGGAAACUUUACCUUUCGUCAUUUUCGAAUUGAUAAAAUAGAGUAUCAAUGAAAUACUGGGGUUGAUAUAACCAACUUACCCCAUCCGCUAAAAUCGCUGGCCUUGUGCCUAAAUCAGGAAUCAUUUGACAGAUAAUAUAUUAGGUCAUCCUAUAAAUAAUGCAGUUUUUUUUAUACUUCUUUUAUUUUUCAAAAUUAAGAUAAACAAAGUUCUUUUUUAAUCUAAAAUAUUCAUUUUCUGCAGUGCUCUUCCAUCUAUCUGGUAGACUUGCAAUGCCCCUCUUCCAAAAUUCACUUGUCCGUGACGAAAAUACUCCUCCAGUACUAUUAUGACCUCAUCUACAGAAUUCAUAUUUUUUCCGUCCAAAUGAUUUUGAAGAUUGCAGAAUAAAUGAUAUGCAGAUGGGGCAAUGUCCAGCAAAUAUGGUGGGUGGGGCAUCGUUUCUCAUUCAGAAUGCUCUAACCACCUUUGGAAUGUCAUCCUUGCUGUAUGUGGCUAAGCAUUAUCCUGGUGGAAGAACAGCUUUUGUCUUGAAACCAAAGAUGGUUGUGUUUCUUCUAGUGCUGACUUAAGCCACUCGUGCUGCUCACAGUAGAUCUCCUUUGUUAUCAUUUGGUUUGGUUUGGGUUUAAAAGUUCAAAGUGGACUAAACCUUUCAUAUCCCACCAAACAGAUAACAACACCUUACAUGGAUGAAGACCUUCUUUAGCCUGGAGUGCUGGUGUUUCUCCUUUCCCUACCUACUGUCUUUGGCACUUGACAUUUUUAUAGAGAACCCAUGUCUCAUCACCAGUCACUAUUUAGUCCAAAAAAGGUUCAUUCAUGAGUUGUGAUAGCACACAUUCUUUCUCUGCACGUGAUUAGACUCGGAAAGUUUGUGAGGAACCCAUUGACCCAAUAUGCUGACUUUUUUGAUGGCACACUAGGGUCAAUAAAUGUUUAAAUGACCAAAUCCAAGCUUCUCUGCAUGUUCCUCAACAGUUAUGAUGGGAUUUCAGGACAUCCUUCUUGGGCUCUACAGCUCUUCCAGGACGAGGUUCAUCUUCUAGGCUGUAGAUUCUGGCUCAGAAUUUCUGGAACCACUGUUGACACUGGCUUGUGUUUAUCAUCCAAUUCUCAUGUUCUACAUUAAUAUUCCUUGCACUUUCUGUUGCAUUAUUGCCUUUAUUGAACUCAUAAAGCAAAAUAUGCUGAAUAUGCUCCUUUGUCACUUCUAUUAUAGCUUUGAAAAAAUAACUAUUCAAAGUGAACUGCAUUCUUCAAAACUUGCUCUAAGAAUAAGGACAAGAUAAAAUUUCUACCUGCUUUUAUAGCAAAUUGAUGCAGGUAGUUUAUCCCACUCCCCCCUCCAACUUUUAGUUCAUGCAUUUGAAUAAAACUGCAUCAUUUGUGGGAUGAUCCAAUAUUUAUACAUUUGCAUAAUGAGUCAAUCACUAUAUGGUUGAUUGAGCCAGUAGAAAUUGCAGGCAAGUCUCUCAAUUAAAUCCUGCCACCCUUAAAAUUAUAGAGGUCCUCACUAGAUGCACAGCAUAUUUAUUCUCCCCUGCCCUUCUUGCUGGAAUAAUCCUGAUUUUAUUAGAACUGACUUGGGGCAAAAUAACAAUAUCUGCAUCAACAGUUAUUCCCUUUCAACAAUUAUAUCAGAUGAAAUUUUUCCCCCCUGAGCUGUAAAACAUGUACUGAAUUCAGUCAAGAUGAAAUAAUUUUCAAAGUACUAUAUACUGAGUGGAGACUGCUCCAAUAUCUCAGUAGACUUAUGACUAAUUCCAUAACUAGAAAUGGUAGAUAAGUCGUUUUUCUUCUUUUUUUUAUUCUUGGAGCAAAGUUAAAACUAAAAAGAGGUGAGAAGGAAUAAGUAAAAAAAAGAAUGUUCAUAGAAAUUCUGGUUAAACAGCAUCAAUUAUUGAGUUAAAGCUGACACGGGCAAUCUGUGGCUCUUUAUGCAUUUUUGUGUGGCAUGUGUAAAUUUUUGCUAAAAUUUGUUAAUCUUUUAAUCCAGCUCUGGUAAUCUAAACAGUUUCUUUACUUUUACUCUUAUUCACUUACAAUUUUCCUCAGUAAUUUUGUUUUUAAAUCUAUUUCUUUUAAAUAUUUGCAUCUUGUAAUAUGUAUCGUGCACUCUAUAGUACAUAUGAUGUUUGUUAAACACAUGUACUAUAGUGGUAUGACCUGAUUUAUGAUAUGCAAUGCUGUAUAAGGCCUGUUGCCAGAAUAAAAAAAAAAGAAAAAACGUUACCCAUGCUUGAUAUAGAAGUAUUUCCACAUUGAUAUUGGAAUUUCUAGUUCAAUAUAGAGGAGAACAAACAGAAAAUUCAACAUUUGAUGGUAUCCAGAUUUAAGCAUGGGAGUACAAUGGAUGGAAAGCAAGGUGGUGGUGGUGGUGGUAAUAGUAGAGAUCGUAGAGUAUGACAUAUUUCAAAGACCAACUGUGAUUGCUUUUGGGAAGUAUAUUCCUUAUCUUGAAUGAAUAUGCUGUGUAUCCUGGCUAAAUUUCAAAUAUUGAAAUGAUUUACUUCACAUGUCCAUUUGUACUCCGGUAUAGCGGUCAUUAAUCAUUUAUUUGGCUGUUAAUAGACGUAUCAGUUUGUACUCUCUUGUGACCUGUUCACUUAGGUCUGUCUACAUUAAAUUUACAAAAAGAUGGAGGGACUGGGGGGGAGGUGGUAUGGUGAAUAGGUAGUUGAUGGUGGUGGUGGUGGUGGAAAUACACGAUGUUCGUACAGCAGUGUGUAUAUUUCAUUCGAAGCUGAAGUUUCUUCAAUGUGUUUUAUCUAGAUAAUGCUGAAAAUAUCACAUUUUGUGCACAGCAAUUGAAUAUGUGUAAGGAUGUGGUCACCUGAGAGUAAUGACUGAUAGGUUCAAAUAAAUAACCUCAAAGCGAAUAGUGGUCACAAUGAGUGUAUAUUUGUUGAAUGAAUUGACUCCACACUAAAGUCUGGUGCUUAUUCUAUCAGUCUCUUUUGCCAAACCACUAAGUUAUGUGUAUGUAAACACAUCACCGGUUGUCAAGCUGUGGUAGGGGACAAAUAUAGACACACGCACUCAGCUAUAUGUAUAAUGGCCUUCUCUCAGUUUCCACUGACCAAAUCCACUCGAGGCUUUGCUCAUUCCAAGGUUAUAGUAGAGACACUUGCCCAAGGUGUCAUGCAGUAGACUGAACCUGGAAGCAUGUUGUUGGGAAGCAAGCUUCUUACCACACAGCCACACCAGUGCCUAUAACUUAUUUUUUUCUUCUUUUAAUAAGUUUGCUUCCCAACCACAUGACUUUAUGUUUAGUCUCACUGCAUGACACUUUGGGUAAGUGUCUUCUUUUAUGGCCCCAGGCUGACCAGUAUCUUGUGAGUGAAUUUGGUGGGUUGAUCAAAGCCAUAUUAAUUGAUUUAGUAAAUAGAAAUCAAAGAUGAAAAGCCCAUCCUAUGUGUGUGUGUGUGUGUGUGUGUGUGUCAUCACCUGAUUGUUGUGAGUCAUCGUCAUACCAGCCUUGUCAUGUUUCCAGUCUUUCACAAAAACAUGUCUGGCCAAGGGGAAAAAUCUGCCUGAACAAAUCCUGUCUGACCUGUGCAAGCAUAAAAAAGUGGAUGCUAAAUUAAAAAAACAAUGCUAAUGAUCUCUCCACAUUCUUCAUCGCAAUUAAGAUAUAACAAGCAGAAGCAAAUUAAAAAAGUAUAAUUAUUCAAGCAGCAAACAAUUGUGAACUGACGGAGCUGUGCAACCAUAAACUUAAUUGGUUCCUUUGAACUAAGAGUUAAAAAUAUUCAAUCCCUUCUCCUGAUCCAUGAGAAGUGCUUGUAAUUCUGUUGUUAUAUUUAAGUUGUUUUAUUGUAAUUCUGUGAUCUUUUUAGCUGUGACCUAUUUACAAUAAUUAUUGAUAGUGUGCGCCCAUUCUUCUUUCAUUUUCAUCUUCAUAAAAUGUCAAAACUGUUCAACUCUUUAAAAUUUCAGCUGUUAGUGAUUCAUCUGAUAGGACUUAGAUGACAUUGAGUUCCUGGUGUGCAUAGUUCUCUUGCUGCAUGUUUAAUCAUUCCAGUCCCCUAUGAGAGAUUUCUGAGAACAUCAUCCUCAUCAUCAUCAUCAUCGUUUAACGUCCGUUCUCCAUGCUAGCAUGGGUUGGACGGUUCGACCGGGGAUCUGGGAAGCCAGAAGGCUGCACCAGGCUCCAGUCUUAUCUGGCAAUGUUUCUACAGCUGGAUGCCCUUCCUAACGCCAACCACUCCGUGAGUGUAGUGGGUGCUUUUUACGUGCCACUCGCACAGGUGCCAGGCGAGGCUGGCAACGGCCACGGUCGGAUUGGUGCAUUUUACGUGCCACCGGCAUGGAAGCCAGUCGAGGCGGCGCUGGCAUCGGCCACGAUUCGGAUAGUGCUUUUUACGUACCACCAGUCCAGGGGUCCUGGCAUCUGCCGGGUGCCAGUCAUAGGAUUGGUUCGAUUUCGAUUCCGAUUCCGAUUUCGAUUUCAAUUUCGAUUUCAGUUGCCCUCAACAUUGUUGACUAUAUAGAUUAGACCCCUUUCGGUCAUGAAUGACCAUGGGAUCGCACCUAGAAAGUUACUCUCCAGGUCACAAGUCUGGACAAAGAUUUUUUAUAGUAGACCAGCAGACACCCAUUCAUACCAGCCUCCCCUCUCCAUGCCACCGAUGUUAUCCAAGGGAAAGGCAAGGGCCGAUACAGCUUGGCACCAAUGACGUUGCAACUCAUUUCUACAGCUGAGAGAACUGGAGCAACAUAAAAUAAAGCACCUUGCUCAAGAACACAACACCCAGCCCGGUCAGGGAAUAAAACUCACAAUUGUGAGCCCAAAACCGUAACCUUGAGCCAUGCGCCUUCUCAAAGUUCUGACAAGUGUUUGUAUUAGUACAUCCCAACAAUAGGCUUAAGGAAACCUUUCUUUUCUUUGUUUCAGCUAAGUAAUCGAGCGUGUACAAGUAUUUAAUACAAAAUGUUGUUAGUAUGUACAGCGUAAAAAUGUAACUUGUAGGAAUUCUGCUGUAAGCUCUGGUGUUAUUGGUUGCUUACUUAGUUCCAAAUCAGCUCCAAUCUGCCAAACUUACAGGAUGAAAAGUGCUCCAGCUGUGAAAAUGUCAACUUUUACUUAUUGACAAUUUGUCCAAGACUCCAUUAUUGAAACUGCUCCAACUUUUUUUUAAGACAGUAUGGUAUUCUGCUGAUAUUUCUUGCAGUUUAAGUGACCGUACUGAAGUGAUUCACUCAUUGACCAUUGAGGACCAUUUUUCUCAUAUUAAGUAUUAAAUGAUCUAUGAAGGUUACUAAGACAAAAUGAUAGCCUAUGAAGUGCAUGUGUAUGUAGGGGGUAGGGUGGGUUGGGGAAACAUCUUUUGUUGACUUAGAAAGAUAAAACUAGAGCUAAACGCCAGCCCAUAAGAACCAGUUCAAGGCUCAGAACACAUUUUUUUUUAUAUCAACAGCUGUUAGAACCAACUAGCACUGACUUGUUUUGGUUCACAGAACCCAGAAUUUUUUCUUUCUUUUUUUCUUCACAGUUUAGAGAGAGUGGGUAGCAAUAUUCACAAUUCACUGUGUUUCUAGAUCCUUCAAAGCUGGUGAAAGGAUGUGAGGACAUCGUUUUUUAAUCAGCGACCUAACUUGAAUGCUUAUUACAGGGUGAACCCCACUCAAAGGCAUCAGAGAAUUUCUCUUUUUUUUUUCAAUAUUAACCUUAAACCAAUUUAUAGCUAAUUUUAUUUUUACUUUAGUGUGGUGCUGGUACGACUGUGUGCUAAGAAGCUUGCUUCCCAUCCACAUGGCUAUGGGUUCAGCCCCUCUGCAUGGUACUUUGGGCAAGUGUCAUCCGUUAUAGCCUCAGGCCAACCAAAGUCUUGUGAGUGGAUUUGGUACACAAAAACUAAAAGAAGCCCAUCAUAUACACCUUCACCUUUGCUUACGACCUAUACAACUUACGACUAUCUGCACUUACAACCACAAAAAAUAAGGAAAUAACAAAUUAAUUAAAAAAUCGAUUUUCGGACAUUGGGCAGUUGCGUGUAUGAUAGCUAUGGCAGCAUCUGGCAAUGCAGGCUUCCUUCGGAGUCAAGCAUCCACUGCCCACCACUGUCUCUCACUCAGUCACUUUCAAGCGUCAGUUGCGUUUGAAUGGAAAUAGUGUUGAAAAUUACAAAUCAGACAUAUGACCAGAUUGACUUACGACCUCUCGGUCAGAACGGAACUCAGUCAUAAAUCAAGGAGAAGGUCAUCAUCAUCAUCAUCAUCAUUUAGUGUCCGCUUUCCAUGCUAGCAUGGAUUGGACGGUUCAACUGGGGUCUGGGAAGCCAGAAGGCUGCACCAGGCCCAGUCUGAUCUGGCAAAGUUUCUAUGGCUGGAUGCCCUUCCUAACACCAACCACUCCAAGAGUGUAGUGGGUGCUUUUUACGUGCCACCGGCACAGGUGCCAGACGAGGCUGGCAAACGGCCACGAUCGGAUGGUGCUUUUUACGUGCCACCGGCACACGGGCCAGGCGAGGCUGGCAACGGCCACGUUCAGAUGGUUCUUUUACAUAUAUAUAUGUAUAUGUAUGUGUGUGUGUCUGUUUGUCUUUGUGUUUGUUACAUCACCAUGACUUAGCAGUUCAACAAAAGAGACUGAUAGAAUAAGUACCAGGCUUUAAAAGAAAUAAGUACUGGGGUUGAUUCAUUUGCCUAAAAAUUCUUCAAGGCAAUGCCCCAGCAUGGCCACAGUCUAAUGACUGAAAAAGUCAAAGAUAGUGUUUAAGACAAUUUUAUUUUUAACGAACCAUUUGUUGAAGACAUAACGACCAAAAGACUCUGUGUAUGUUUUAUGUGCUUCAUCUGUUGUUGCUGUUAAGACGACAGUUUGUCAGACUCCAUUUCUUGAUGUAUUGUUCUUGGAUGGGUUUCGUUGAUAUUUAUUCAAAUUCUGGUAAAAGAUUCAUUGAGAAAUUCUGAAAUGUUCCACGACAGACAAAUAUUGGAGCUUAAUGAUGUUAUCUGCUGCCAUAAAAUUGCCAUCUUGUGAUGAAAAUAAUUUUUCGUUUUUUUUUUUACAUUUUCUGUAUGUGUGAAAAUAUGAAUCGCUUAUUUCAUAAUUUCUUUAUAAAAUUAUUCUAAUUUUAAUUUUCUUUAUUUCCAGGUAAAAAAAAAGGGAAUAUAUAACGUACACAGCCAUUAUAUAUAUAAAUAUCUCUGGUGAUUAGGUAAGAUAACA